rnacentral:rRNA from 1 species
UCGCUGUGAAGAUGCAGUGUACCCGCGGCAAGACGGAAAGACCCCGUGAACCUUUACUAUAGCUUGACACUGAACAUUGAGCCUUGAUGUGUAGGAUAGGUGGGAGGCUUUGAAGCGUGGACGCCAGUCUGCGUGGAGCCAACCUUGAAAUACCACCCUUUAAUGUUUGAUGUUCUAACGUUGGCCCCUUAUCGGGGUUGCGGACAGUGUCUGGUGGGUAGUUUGACUGGGGCGGUCUCCUCCCAAAGCGUAACGGAGGAGCACGAAGGUUAGCUAAUCCUGGUCGGACAUCAGGAGGUUAGUGCAAUGGCAUAAGCUAGCUUGAC